rnacentral:lncRNA from 1 species
CUGAGUUGGGAUUCAGAAAUAAAUUCUGAUGAACACACUGCUGUUCUACAGUAUUUUUCCUUCUGUUAUGGUGUUGGAAAGGACAUUUGUCAUAAGAGGACUUUUUCCCCCAGGUCAUUGUCUGUGCAUUAAUCUUUGGAAUGUGAUGGACCAUGUGAAACAUUAUAAUUUGUCUGUGGGAUAAAGUCCAAUGGGAAUCCAGAAAGCCAUUCAUGCAGAAACACUCUGGGAGGCCUGUGUAGGCCAACUUUGAAUACAUAUUUAGUCCUUUCAUCUUUGGCAACAGCCAACUGCUCUUUUAUGAAACCCUGCCUUGUUAU